GAACGGGUGAGUAACACGUGGGCAAUCUGCCCUGCACUCUGGGACAAGCCCUGGAAACGGGGUCUAAUACCGGAUACUGAUCCGUCUGGGCAUCCAGACGGUUCGAAAGCCUCCGGCGGUGCAGGAUGAGCCCGCGGCCUAUCAGCUUGUUGGUGAGGUAGUGGCUCACCAAGGCGACGACGGGUAGCCGGCCUGAGAGGGCGACCGGCCACACUGGGACUGAGACACGGCCCAGACUCCUACGGGAGGCAGCAGUGGGGAAUAUUGCACAAUGGGCGAAAGCCUGAUGCAGCGACGCCGCGUGAGGGAUGACGGCCUUCGGGUUGUAAACCUCUUUCAGCAGGGAAGAAGCGAAAGUGACGGUACCUGCAGAAGAAGCGCCGGCUAACUACGUGCCAGCAGCCGCGGUAAUACGUAGGGCGCGAGCGUUGUCCGGAAUUAUUGGGCGUAAAGAGCUCGUAGGCGGCUUGUCACGUCGGUUGUGAAAGCCCGGGGCUUAACCCCGGGUCUGCAGUCGAUACGGGCAGGCUAGAGUUCGGUAGGGGAAGAUCGGAAUUCCUGGUGUAGCGGUGAAAUGCGCAGAUAUCAGGAGGAACACCGGUGGCGAAGGCGGAUCUCUGGGCCGAUACUGACGCUGAGGAGCGAAAGCGUGGGGAGCGAACAGGAUUAGAUACCCUGGUAGUCC
rnacentral:rRNA from 1 species